rnacentral:tRNA from 1 species
CCCGAUCUGGCCGAGCGGCUGCGGUGCGAGCCCACCUUGAUCGGGCCGUUUCUGGAAGAGGUGUUGCGGUUCGAGUCCCCGUUUCGGGGCCA